AUGGAUAUCAACCCUUCCAUUACAUGCUGGAACCUGCGAGGCCUUAACAACCCGGCGAAGAGGAAGGCGGUUAGAGAGUUUAUAUCAUCGGUGAAGUGUAACAUGGUGUGUUUGCAGGAGACUAAAUUGGAUGUAAUAGACCAAUAUAUGAUCAUGCAAUGUAUUGGACCAUCUUUUGAUGGUUUUGCUUACCUCCUGGUGAUUAACACGUGUGGAGGUAUUGUGUUGGCAUGGGACUCCACGGUGCUCGAGGUGGAUAACAUCCUCACAGAUGCUCAUUCUCUAACUGGCCUUGUUCACAACAAGGAUGGUUUCAAAUGGUGGAUAACUGUUGUUUAUGGUCCUCAAGAAGAUGAGCAGAAAUUGGCUUCUUGCAUGAUUCGCGUGACCGCUGGGAAGGGUGUAAUGGACCUUGGAUGUUGCUGGGAGACUUCAACAUGA
rnacentral:rRNA from 1 species